GCUCCUCCGAUCCGUCAGAGUAGCACUUCCAUUGUCAAAAGCAAUCCUCAGCCAAAAGCUAUAUUUUCUGAAAAACGACUCUUGGAUAUCACCUUGUCGUGGGAAACAGCAGAUCACCACCCUCCAGCUAACAACAACUCUCCAACGAUCAAGGCCUCAACGAAAAAGACCACCUUCAGCAUUCACUCCGCAUUACUCCCGGCAGAGACAGGUGUCUUGUCCUACUAACACCCCACUCGUGGCCUGCACCUUGAUGUGGUGAGUGGGCUUUCAACUAUACAAGUCUUACUUUCAUGUUCCCAUGGAGUAUGGAGGUUAACUGGCACCAUAAUUGAUGUAAAAAGUAGUGAUGCUCCGAUUGAAGUGGCGUGAAUGCGAGGCUAUUGACCAGACGGAUAAGCUACCAAGUUGAAUUGAACAUAGCCUCACGCAGACACACACACACAGUGAACCACUACGCAACCAUGGCGAACGUAUACAUUUGGAGAGAGCUCCUUCCUAACUACCAC